GACGAACGUUGGCGGCGUGCUUAAUACAUGCAAGUCAACUGAAGCAGUGGUAGCAAUAUCGCUGUGGAGGUGGCGCACGGGUGAGUAACACGUAGGUAAUCUGCCUUCAGGUCUGGCAUAACUCCGGGAAACCGGGGCUAAUAGCAGAUGAUGCAGCGGCUCGACAUCGAGACAGUUGUUAAAGCUAUGGCGCCUGAAGAUGAGCCUGCGUCUGAUUAGCUAGUUGGCGGGGUAACGGCCCACCAAGGCAACGAUCAGUAGCUGGUCUGAGAGGAUGAUCUGCCACACUGGAACUGAGACACGGUCCAGACUCCUACGGGAGGCAGCAGUAAGGAAUAUUGCUCAAUGGGAGAAAUCCUGAAGCAGCAACGCCGCGUGAGGGACGAAGGGCUUUUGCUUGUAAACCUCUGUAGUGAGAGAAAAAAAUCCCAAUCUUUGGGACAUGAUGGUAUCUCAAAAGUAAGCCCCGGCUAACUACGUG
rnacentral:rRNA from 1 species